ACACAAACAGAUGGAAACAGAUAUUACUAGCAGAUUUAGGUCCAUAUAAUUAAUCAACAGACAGAUUCAAAAAGCAGUCAACCAAGCACAGAGCAUCAAAAGCUGGUGACGACACAAUCAGUAGGGUAAAACAAGCAAUGGCUUUUCAACCGAGCACCAAACUAAAGCUGAAGGCACAUAAUGUAGAACCAUUUUCAUUCUAAAAAGACCAUCCCAAGGUGGUUUGCAGUACUCAUUGCACAGAUACUUAGGUCUCAACAGAAUUACAUAUCAAAUCCGCAAAAUUCAACCUAAAAGCACAUAAGAUAGGUAAUCUUUAGCAUAGCAGAUUCCACAGGAGAGCUGGAAUUGAACUGCUUAGUCAAACAAGCUGAAGCCCAUGUCAUCAUCGCUCUCUUCCUUGGCCUCCUCCUUUUUCUCUUCUUUCUUCUCUUCAGCGGCAGCAGCACCACCAGCAGCCGGGGCAGCAGCAGCAGCAGCUGGAGCACCACCUCCACCUGGAAACGAAUCAAAUUCGUUACUACAUUGACAAAAUAAAAGGCAGCAGUACACGUAAAUGCAAAGCAUAGAACCACUCCUGUUGCUGCUCAUGAUAAGUUACAAUCAACCCGAAUAGCAUACUCAUUCUCUACUAUUACACUCCUCGAGAUUGGUCAAACAGGGAUGACAAAAAAUUUACACGUGAAAUUAAAUUCAGAAAACAGAACAUAGGUACAUCUACAAGUCCUGCCUAGGAAGUCAUCCUUCAAUUUAAUAAUAAGUUGUCUAACAUUAAGUGAAGCGAUGGAUUCUCUUAUUGCACAGACUAACCAAGCAGCAGAUCAAAGUACGUUCCAUAAAUUAGAGGCAGUGGCAACAAUAUGAUAUGUCUACUGUGAAGUACACAACGGGCCACGUGAAUCAAAGCCUUGGAUAAACUACAGAGGAAUAUAACACAGUGAGAGCGGGAGAGGUUUACCAGAUCCGACGGAAAGGAUGAGGUCAUCGACGCUCCUCUUCUCCAGGAGCUUGGCGAAGAGCGCGGGCCAGUAGGCCUCAACCUUGAUUCCGGCAGCCUUCACCACCGUCGCGAUCUUCUC
rnacentral:lncRNA from 1 species